rnacentral:rRNA from 1 species
UCUAAUCUGCCCACUGAUUUUUAAUUAAAGGGCUGCAGUAAUUUGACUGUACAAAGGUAGCAUAAUCAUUAGUCUUUUAAUUGAAGACUUGUAUGAAAGAUUUGAUGAGAUAUAAACUGUCUCUUUAUUACAAUUAAAAUUUAAUUUUUUAGUUAAAAAGCUAAAAUAUUUUUAAAAGACGAGAAGACCCUAUAGAGUUUUAUAGUUUUUAUUAUAAAAUAUUUAUAUAAAAUUUUAAUGUUAUAUUAUAAAAAUUAUUUUGUUGGGGAGAUAAAAAAAUUAAAUAAACUUUUUUAAAUAUUUUCAUGAAUAAUUGAGUAAUUGAUCCAUAUUUAUUGAUUAAAAGAAAAAAUUACCUUAGGGAUAACAGCGUAAUAUUUUUUUUUAGUACAAAUAAGAAAAAAAGUUUGCGACCUCGAUGUUGGAUUAAGAUAAAAUUUAAAUGUAAAAGUUUAAAAUUUUGAUCUGUUCGAUCAUUAAAAUCUUACAUGAUCUGAG